UAAAACUUUUAACAACGGAUCUCUUGGUUCUGGCAUCGAUGAAGAACGCAGCAA
rnacentral:rRNA from 1 species